rnacentral:rRNA from 1 species
UAUUGAACGCAUAUUGCGGCCACGGGUCCGUCCUGUGGCCACGCCCGUCUGAGGGUCGGCGACGUUGUACCCAUCGCUGGAAGGCUCUGGUCCAGCGCCUUGAGCUUUCGUAGCCCGAGAGGCUCCGUGGCUUAAAGUGAAGACCUGAAAGUGAAAAGAAAAGUCCUGGGGCGCAGCGGCGGCAGCAGCAGCAGCAGUCCUCAUGCGAGCGAAGGACAUGGCCCGGUUGAACUGUCUUUGCAAGCGAGCUAGCUGUGUUUGGGACGGAUCACACUUCCGACCUCAGAUCGGACGAGAUUACCCGCUGAAUUUAANCNUAUCAC